rnacentral:rRNA from 1 species
AAAACCCAAAGGCGUAAUGAAAGUGAAUAGUGAAAUCAAUUUUUUGUUAUCACUUAAGGGAAGAUGGAAAUGUUGUUACUUUUAUAAUUUUAGCAUUUAUGUUAUUCAUUAUUUAUAACAAUUUCCCGCACUCCCGGGGCGCUUGUUUCUCGCAUUGCGAGUCACUGCGCACCUAGAGCGUACACGAUGAUACCCGAAAGAUGGUGAACUAUGCCUGGCCAGGACGAAGCCAGGGGAAACCCUGGUGGAGGUCCGCAGCGAUUCUGACGUGCAAAUCGAUCGUCGGAGCUGGGUAUAGGGGCGAAAGACCAAUCGAACCAUCUAGUAGCUGGUUCCCUCUGAAGUUUCCCUCAGGAUAGCUUGCGCUCAUUCGGAGUCUCAUCCGGUAGAGCGAAUGAUUAGAGGCAUUGGGGUCGAAACGACCUCAACCUAUUCUCAAACUCCAAAUAGAUGAGAACCCCGGCUUUCUUAAAAAUGAAGCCGUGGGAUUCGGAUCAGAGUGCCAAGUGGGCCAAU